rnacentral:rRNA from 1 species
CUCUACCUACGGGGGGCAGCAGUGAGGAAUAUUGGUCAAUGGGCUAAGGCCUGAACCAGCCAAGUCGCGUGAGGGAAGACGGUCCUAUGGAUUGUAAACCUCUUUUGUCGGGGAGCAACGAGGCCACGUGUGGCCGAAGUGAGAGUACCCGAAGAAAAAGCAUCGGCUAACUCCGUGCCAGCAGCCGCGGUAAUACGGAGGAUGCGAGCGUUAUCCGAUUUAUUGGGGUUAAAGGGUGCGUAGGCGGACUGUUAAGUCAGCGGUAAAAGCCCGGGG